CUCGCGUUGGAGGAGCUUGCUCUGAGCUGCUGCCACCUGCUGGGCUGGAGCUGGAGCUGGAGCUGCGAAUUCGGAGUCCCGGUUCCCUGUGCCACCUGGCGAGCUCAGCAAACUAAAAGUCUCUUUGUCUUCAUCGUUUCCGGCACUGAUGUGAGCACAUCAUAAGCACAAGACCUGGACACCUUUACAAUCAGAGGGCCUAGGACUGGAGCUCUGGAUCUGACCGGAGCAAAGAGGAAGCACGCAAAUCCGGACAUGACGACGAGGAGGCAGUAGAGACCCAUCCUCAACUGUGCCCUUGUUGAGCUGCUUGAGGCAGAAGGCACAGACGAAGUGCUCGGGGUGGAACUUCUUGGCCAUGGCGGUGAUGCAGCGGCCGGUGAUGGGCUUCUGGCAGCCAGAACACAGCGAGCCGCGCCGCUCGUGGUAGUGCACCUCACAGUAGGGCUGCCCGUCGUGCUCGAAGAAGCUGCCGUUCACGAAUGGCGUGAAGCAUUCCUGCCAGGCGGAGAGAGGGGCUCAGGGAGCUGCCCCUCGGGCUAGAGCUGCACCCUGUGUGAUGGGGCCGAGAGGGCUGCGGUGAAGCUGGAAUGAGCGGAAGCGGGCGCGGUGCCGGAUGAGGAACUCACAUCCAGGAUGGGGCCGUUGCAGUAGUAGCAGCGCGGGGAGAAGAGGUUGUGGUAGUCCUUUUCACAGUAGGGCUGUCCAUCCCGCUCGAAGAAGUUCCGGGAUCCGAUCUCCUCCUGGCAGUGGGUGCAGACGAAGUGCUCGGGGUGCCACGUCUUCCCCAUGGCGGUCACAACCUGAGGAGGAGAUGGAAUGCGGUCCAGGGCC
rnacentral:lncRNA from 1 species